rnacentral:rRNA from 1 species
AUACGGAGGGUGCAAGCGUUAAUCGGAAUUACUGGGCGUAAAGGGUUCGUAGGCGGUUAUUUAAGUCAGAUGUGAAAGCCCCGGGCUCAACCUGGGAAUUGCAUCUGAUACUGGGUAACUAGAGUUUAAGAGAGGAGUGUGGAAUUUCCGGUGUAGCGGUGAAAUGCAUAGAGAUCGGAAGGAACAUCAGUGGCGAAGGCGGCACUCUGGCUUAAAACUGACGCUGAGGAACGAAAGCGUGGGUAGCAAACAGGAUUAGAUACCCCUGUAGUCC